rnacentral:rRNA from 1 species
GACGAACGCUGGCGGCGUGCCUAAUACAUGCAAGUCGAACGCUUUUUCUUUCACCGGAGCUUGCUCCACCGAAAGAAAAAGAGUGGCGAACGGGUGAGUAACACGUGGGUAACCUGCCCAUCAGAAGGGGAUAACACUUGGAAACAGGUGCUAAUACCGUAUAACACUAUUUUCCGCAUGGAAGAAAGUUGAAAGGCGCUUUUGCGUCACUGAUGGAUGGACCCGCGGUGCAUUAGCUAGUUGGUGAGGUAACGGCUCACCAGGGCAACGAUGCAUAGCCGACCUGAGAGGGUGAUCGGCCACACUGGGACUGAGACACGGCCCAGACUCCUACGGGAGGCAGCAGUAGGGAAUCUUCGGCAAUGGACGAAAGUCUGACCGAGCAACGCCGCGUGAGUGAAGAAGGUUUUCGGAUCGUAAAACUCUGUUGUUAGAGAAGAACAAGGAUGAGAGUAGAACGUUCAUCCCUUGACGGUAUCUAACCAGAAAGCCACGGCUAACUACGUGCCGGCCGCCGCAGUAA